GCGGUUAUCGUAUAUCGGUAUUACACAGGCUUCCCAAGCCUGAUAGGCGGGUUCGACUCCCGUUGACCGCU
rfam:Treponema succinifaciens DSM 2489, complete genome.